rnacentral:rRNA from 1 species
AUUGAACGCUGGCGGCAGGCUUAACACAUGCAAGUCGAACGGUAGCAGGAGGAAGCUUGCUUUCUUGCUGACGAGUGGCGGACGGGUGAGUAAUGCUUGGGAAUCUGGCUUAUGGAGGGGGAUAACGACGGGAAACUGUCGCUAAUACCGCGUAGUGUCGAGAGACGAAAGGGUGGGACUUUUAGCCACCUGCCAUAGGAUGAGCCCAAGUGGAAUUAGGUAGUUGGUGGGGUAAUGGCUCACCAAGCCUGCGAUCUCUAGCUGGUCUGAGAGGAUGACCAGCCACACUGGAACUGAGACACGGUCCAGACUCCUACGGGAGGCAGCAGUGGGGAAUAUUGCGCAAUGGGGGGAACCCUGACGCAGCCAUGCCGCGUGAAUGAAGAAGGCCUUCGGGUUGUAAAGUUCUUUCGGUAUUGAGGAAGGUUGAUGUGAUAAUAGUACAUCAAAUUGACGUUAAAUACAGAAGAAGCACCGGCUAACUCCGUGCCAGCAGCCGCGGUAAUACGGAGGGUGCGAGCGUUAAUCGGAAUAACUGGGCGUAAAGGGCACGCAGGCGGUUAUUUAAGUGAGGUGUGAAAGCCCUGGGCUUAACCUAGGAAU